UGGGCAGGAAUGUUUCGGAUGUAUUGUGAGAAGCAAUAUCCACCGGCCAAGUAGUUUCGUUGUACCGAGGCCUUGGAACAAAGAACAAACUAACAUCAAGCGUUUAUUCGUAUAUUUAAAUAAGUCAAGUUAUUGUUAUAACCACUUUAAUUAUUCUAGAGACACACACACAAUCUCGUGAAACGUAGAUGCUCUUACAGUUUCCUAUUGUGAUGGUAAAAGUGAAGAUUUUGACAUACGAAAGUGGUGAUGGUGUGGUGUGGCGGUGGCGUGGUGAAGAUGAGGAGCAGAUUUAUGAUUUUUUGAAUAGAUUGCACUAGGCCAAAAUGCAAGACUGACGACGUUUUUUUUCGCGACGGUUAUGUGUUCGUCGCCUAUUUGCGACGUUUCAGAGCUACAAUCGUCGCUGAAAGUGGAAAACCCAGGUUUAGUUCAAAACCCUAGCGACGAUUCCGUGUAAUCGUCGCUAGGUUGCGACGCAACAGGUAUAAACGUCGCAUAUAUGAAAAAAAAUUUAAAAAUAAUUAUUUGGCGACGAAAACUAUAUUUCGUCACACGUUUUACAUAUUUUGGGAUUUUAUAUUUCAAAUCUCGCGACGUAACAGUGUACAACGUCGCAAAUAUUAUUUUAAAAAAGAAAAAAUAAUAUACUUUGCGACGAUUUCUCGGAAACGUCGCUAUGAAUGCCCAAUUAUUUAAUAAUAAUUUAUAUAUUGCGACGGAAUGAUGUAAAACGUCGCCAUAGUUUUAUUUAAAAAAAAAAAAAUUCAUUGCGACGGAUGUUACAAAGCGUCGCAAUAAAUAUUUUCAAAUUUUUUUUUUCAGGAUUUAUUUGCGACGUAAUUUAUGUUUCGUCGCUAGUAUUCCCUUAAAAAAAAUUAUUUUUUGUUGCGACGAAAGAUGUAAACGUCGCAAAGGUUGAUUUAUUAUUUCAACCAGACCCUAAUUCGAUCUGUUUGUUUCGCUCUCUAAAUUUCUCCCCCUCUCUCUUUCCUCCGAUCUGGCCACUGCCGUCCGCCGCCCGCCGUCCGCCGCCCGCCGCCUGCUGCCCGCCGUUCGCCGUCAUCCCACCGGCGUUAGCCCUCCUCCGUGAUACCCUAAUUCGCCCCAAAUCUCCGCCGCCGAUCCCGACAGCCCUCCGCCGUCAGCCCUCUGUCGUCGCUGCCAGACCGUCUGCUGCCAUUCCUCCUCCGUCUGCCCUCCUCCUUCAAGAAUUUCAAGAAUUGAAGCAUAUACAAUCUCCACCGUUGGAUCCGUGUACAACAUUCAUUGAGGCAUCACCCAUAUUUGGCAAAUUUCGCUUGUUUCCAAAAUGGCAUCAUCCCAAUGAUUUUAUAUAUACCGUGCAAUUAUUAAUAAUUAUAUGCAUGGCCCCAACUCAAUAGAUGCUGCUUUUACAAAGUUGACCAAAAAAAAGAAAGAAUAUUUAUGAGCCAUACAGAAUACCAAAUUUAUAUUAUAUUCAUCAUUUAUCCAUAUCUUUUUUAUUCCAUUUGAUGAUUGAUUUCUCAGCCUAUAUAAACCAUAUGCAUCAAUCAAUCGUGGAAUAGUUAUAUAUAUACACACACAUGCAAGUGUGUGUGUGUUUCUGUUGAAGUAGGCUUGCAUGAAGAGGUAAAGAGAGUGGUUUGCAGCCAAGGAUGACUUGCCGAUGAUCUUGCAAUAUUAAUUAUAUUGCCCUAAUUUUAUUUAAAUGAUCUGAUCGGCAAGUUGUUCUUGGCUACAGUUUGCUCUCUUCUUCUCAUGUAAGCCCUGAUACAUGGAUCUAUAUAUGUAUAUAUAUCAUGUUGGAAUUAAAUAUAUAUCUGCAAUGCAAGUUACCAUAGAGU